rfam:Gymnopus luxurians FD-317 M1 unplaced genomic scaffold GYMLTscaffold_113, whole genome shotgun sequence.
GGGCUAGUAGUGUAGGGGUUAUGGCACUCGCUUUGCAUUCUCGCACAGGUUUUCUAUUGAAAAAGAUCUCCGGUUCAAAUCCGGACUAGUCCA